UACGUAGGUGGCAAGCGUUGUCCGGAUUUACUGGGCGUAAAGAGCGCGCAGGCGGUCGUUCAAGUCGCGUGUGAAAGCCCCCGGCUCAACUGGGGAGGGUCACGCGAUACUGAUCGACUCGAAGGCAGGAGAGGGUAGUGGAAUUCCCGGUGUAGUGGUGAAAUGCGUAGAUAUCCGGAGGAAUACCAAAGGCUAAGGCAGUGUCCUGGAGGGUGACUGACGCUGAGGCGCGAAAGCUAGGGGAGCGAACAGG
rnacentral:rRNA from 1 species